UGUGGGAAAGGUAGCCGGUGCGGCCCCAGCUGCCAUUUUAGGGAAGUCUUUCGUUGCGGCCUUGUCGUUCGAGGCGGCCUUCGUGGCGUUUGUCGACCGAAAACAACGGUAAAAAGUCAUCUGACUGGUAGCUCUUCCUCUGGUUUCGACAGAACGGUCCCCUCAGGUUCGAAGGCUGAGGCGAGGGAAGCCGGGAGCAUUUCAAGGCCGAAGCCAGCGGUUAGUCUCAGCGUCGCCUGGAAGGAUGGGCCGGUCUCGGAGCCGGAGUUCGUCCCGCUCCAAACACACCAAGAGCAGCAAACACAACAAGAAGCGCAGCCGGUCCCGAUCGCGGUCCCGGGACAAGGAACGAGUGCGGAAGCGUUCCAAAUCCCGGGAAAGUAAGCGGAACCGGCGGCGGGAGUCGCGGUCCCGCUCGCGCUCCACCAACACGGCCGUGUCUCGGCGUGAGCGGGAACGGGAGCGCGCCUCGUCCCCGCCCGACCGCAUCGACAUCUUCGGGCGCACGGUGAGCAAGCGGAGCAGCCUGGACGAGAAGCAGAAACGCGAGGAGGAGGAGAAGAAAGCGGAGUUCGAGCGACAGCGAAAAAUUCGGCAGCAGGAAAUAGAAGAAAAGCUCAUCGAGGAAGAGACAGCACGAAGAGUGGAAGAGUUGGUGGCAAAGAGGGUAGAGGAAGAAUUGGAGAAAAGGAAGGAUGAGAUUGAGCGAGAAGUUCUCCGAAGGGUGGAGGAAGCCAAGCGCAUCAUGGAAAAGCAGUUGCUCGAAGAACUCGAGCGACAGAGACAAGCUGAGCUUGCAGCACAAAAAGCUAGAGAGAGGAAGCUGGCGCGUAUGGCAGCCGAGGAGCACACUCUGCAGGACACUGGACAAGACAGUAAAUAUUCAACUUUUAAUGCUGAUUAAAGGAGUAUAGGUAAAGAAUACGUAGGUAUACAUAAUUGGUGAGACAAAUAUUCACUUUAUUUAUAUUUUAUGUAUUAUUUUUUUAAUUUGGUAAAUACUAUUCCAGUUUUGUAGUUGUCCUUGUUGAUUUGUGUGAUAUUAAAGUAUUAGUAAUAAUUGCCAGGAAACUAUCAUUAGGGAGGGUUUAGUUGGUUGCUGUUUGGACUGGGAGGGAUGAUUUAAAUUUAGUGCUAGAAACCAAUUUUAGUAGCUGCACAGUUUAUCAUUUGUCAGACAGAGGUAGCUAUAAAGCUACCCUGUAAGUCAGAUCAAAAAAGUUCAGAGGAAGAUAGUAAAUAUUUAUCAAUAAAAAUAAACAUUUUAUUUUUCUAACAUCUUAACCUGUCCUCCCCUUUAGGAGGAAGAACGUGCAAAACGUGAGGAGCUGGAGCGAAUACUGGAAGAGAAUAACCGAAAAAUUGCAGAAGCACAAGCCAAACUGGCUGAAGAACAGUUGAGAAUUGUUGAAGAACAAAGAAAGAUUCAUGAGGAAAGGA